CUCAUUAUUCAAGUUUUUCUUA
rnacentral:miRNA from 1 species